GGGGUUAUAGUUCAGUGGUAGAGCACUUGCCUUGCAUGCUUGAGGCCCUGGGUUCGAUCCUCAGCACCA
rnacentral:tRNA from 1 species